rnacentral:rRNA from 1 species
CUGAACCAGCCAAGUAGCGUGAAGGAUGAAGGUCCUACGGAUUGUAAACUUCUUUUAUAAGGGAAUAAAACCUCCCACGUGUGGGAGCUUGUAUGUACCAUAUGAAUAAGGAUCGGCUAACUCCGUGCCAGCAGCCGCGGUAAUACGGAGGAUCCGAGCGUUAUCCGGAUUUAUUGGGUUUAAAGGGAGCGUAGGUGGACAGUUAAGUCAGUUGUGAAAGUUUGCGG